AGUGAAUGAGCACAAAGGGAAUUCAAGCAUAGAUAAAUAAUAAAGAUAGGAGGAGAAGAGAAAGAUUGAUCGAAGGAAGUGGUACGGAUUUGCAUGGUGACGAGUCUGGUAUUUCGACACGAGUACUAGACCGCAGGUGACGUUGGUGAGGAUUACGGUAACUAGAGAGCACGAGUUGAAAGUUCCUGGUGAGCCCCGCACUUGUCCGCGUGGGCCAAGAGUCUAUUAUUUAUGAUGGUCUUUUCUUUUGAACUCUUAGAGUUUCUCCAUAG